rnacentral:rRNA from 1 species
AACGUAGGACGCGAGCGUUAUCCGGAUUUACUGGGCGUAAAGCGUGUGCAGGCGGUGGUGUAAGUCGGACGUGAAAGCUCCCGGCUCAACUGGGAGACGCCGUUCGAGACUGCGCCACUAGAGGGCAGGAGAGGAGCGUGGAAUUCCGGGUGUAGUGGUGAAAUGCGUAGAUAUCCGGAGGAACACCAGUGGCGAAAGCGGCGCUCUGGACUGCUCCUGACGCUAAGACACGAAAGCUAGGGGAGCAAACGGGAUUAGAUACCCCCGUA